GCCACUGUAGCUCAGUUGGUAGAGCGCUGCAAGACAAUGUUCAGGCCGUCAUUGGUUCGAGUCCAAUCAGUGGCA
rnacentral:tRNA from 1 species